rnacentral:rRNA from 1 species
AGUCGACGCGAAAGGGGAGCAAUCCCUGAGUAGAGUGGCAAACGGGUGAGUAACACGUGGGUGACCUGCCUUCGAGUGGGGGAUAACGUUCCGAAAGGAACGCUAAUACCGCAUGACAUCCUGCUUUUGGAAAAGCGGAGAUCAAAGCUGGGGAUUCGCAAGAACCUAGCGCUUGAAGAGGGGCCCGCGCCUGAUUAGCUAGUUGGUGAGGUAACGGCUCACCAAGGCUACGAUCAGUAUCCGGCCUGAGAGGGCGGACGGACACACUGGGACUGAGACACGGCCCAGACUCCUACGGGAGGCAGCAGUGGGGAAUUGUUCGCAAUGGGCGCAAGCCUGACGACGCAACGCCGCGUGGAGGAUGAAGAUUUUCGGAUCGUAAACUCCUGUCGAGUGGGAAGAAUAGCCUGGGGCGAAUAUCCCCGAGGUCUGACGGUACCACUAAAGGAAGCCCCGGCUAACUCCGUGCCAGCAGCCGCGGUAACACGGGGGGGGCAAGCGUUGUUCGGAAUGACUGGGCGUAAAGGGCUCGUAGGCAGCCUACUAAGUCAG